rnacentral:rRNA from 1 species
CUGGCGGCGUGCCUAACACAUGCAAGUCGCACGAGAAAGUGGAGCAAUCCAUGAGUAAAGUGGCGUACGGGUGAGUAACACGUGACUACCUACCCUCGAGUGGGGAAUAACCCCGGGAAACCGGGGCUAAUACCGCAUAACAUCGCGAGAUCAAAGCAGCAAUGCGCUUGAGGAGGGGGUCGCGGCUGAUUAGCUAGUUGGCAGGGUAACGGCCUACCAAGGCGAUGAUCAGUAGCCGGCCUGAGAGGGCGCACGGCCACACUGGAACUGAAACACGGUCCAGACUCCUACGGGAGGCAGCAGUGGGGAAUUUUGCGCAAUGGGGGAAACCCUGACGCAGCAACGCCGCGUGGAGGAUGAAGUCCCUUGGGACGUAAACUCCUUUCGAUCGGGACGAUAAUGACGGUACCGGAAGAAGAAGCCCCGGCUAACUUCGUGCCAGCAGCCGCGGUAAUACGAGGGGGGCAAGCGUUGUUCGGAAUUAUUGGGCGUAAAGGGCGC